rnacentral:tRNA from 1 species
GCCCGAGUGGCCCAGUGGUUACGGCGCGGGUUUGGAGAACCCGUUUCCCUUGUGGAUUCCCAGGUUCGAAUCCUGGCUCGGGCG